rnacentral:rRNA from 1 species
AUACGGAGGGUGCGAGCGUUAAUCGGAAUUACUGGGCGUAAAGCGUACGUAGGCGGUUUGCUAAGUCAGAUGUGAAAGCCCCUGGCUUAACCUGGGAACUGCAUUUGAUACUGGCAGACUAGAGUAUGAUAGAGGGGGGUAGAAUUCCUGGUGUAGCGGUGAAAUGCGUAGAUAUCAGGAGGAAUACCAGUGGCGAAGGCGGCCCCCUGGAUCAAUACUGACGCUGAGGUACGAAAGCGUGGGGAGCGAACAGGAUUAGAAACCCUAGUAGUCC